AUUGGACGCUGGCGGCAUGCCUUACACAUGCAAGUCGAACGGUAACAGGUCUUCGGAUGCUGACGAGUGGCGAACGGGUGAGUAAUACAUCGGAACGUGCCCGAUCGUGGGGGAUAACGAGGCGAAAGCUUUGCUAAUACCGCAUACGAUCUACGGAUGAAAGCGGGGGAUCUUCGGACCUCGCGCGGACGGAGCGGCCGAUGGCGGAUUAGGUAGUUGUUGGGAUAAAAGCUUACCAAGCCGACGAUCUGUAGCUGGUCUGAGAGGAUGAUCAGCCACACUGGGACUGAGACACGGCCCAGACUCCUACGGGAGGCAGCAGUGGGGAAUUUUGGACAAUGGGCGAAAGCCUGAUCCAGCCAUGCCGCGUGCAGGAUGAAGGCCUUUGGGUUGUAAACUGCUUUUGUACGGAACGAAAAGCCUCUUUCUAAUAAAGAGGGGUCAUGACGGUACCGUAAGAAUAAGCACCGGCUAACUACGUG
rnacentral:rRNA from 1 species